rnacentral:rRNA from 1 species
CUUGCUGUAAACUAUGUAUACUUGGUGUAACCGGACUCAACCCUGGUUGUGCCGUAGCUAACGCGAUAAGUAUACCGCCUGGGGAGUACGCUCGCAAGGGUGAAACUCAAAAGAAUUGACGGGGACCCGCACAAGCAGUGGAGCAUGUGGUUUAAUUCGAUGCAACGCGAAGAACCUUACCCAGACUUGACAUGCAGUAGACCGCGCUAGAAAUAGCGCUUCCCUUCGGGGCUGCUGCACAGGUGC